GGCUCACUCACCUGCAGCGAAGGGCUCUGCGCCUGCCCCGCGCUCCGCCCCCUGCGUCCGCCGGUUGCUAGGACGCCAGGUAAACACCGGCGCCCGGUCCUGCGCACAAGGUCUCGCUCGCGGGGGGAGCGCCCCAAGCCCGCCGCAGCCGCAGCUGUAACCGCAGCCGCGGGCGCCCCCGCCCUCGGGCGCCCAGUACCCCGCGUGCCCCUGCCCUGGACGCUGCUUGGUCCUCCUCGUCGUCCAGGCGUCCCCGGACUCGCUCCACCAGGCCAAGAGUUGAACCAGUACCCCCACAGAGACAGGCCGGAUCAUUAACCAACUUCGCCAUAGCAGGAACUCCAGCUACUUUUAAAUUGUGAUGUGAGAAUACACUCAGUCAUUACACAACACCGGGAAAGCCAGCCUUAAAGAUAUCGAUAACAUCUGUAUUGAGGCCCCUUCAAGGGCAAGCUUCCUGCUUUUCACGAAGGACCUCAACACGCCCUGUGGGUAACCAGGAAGAUGCUGCGGGCUGCGUUUCUACUGGGGGACCAGGGAAUGGAUCGUUUCAUCCACUGGCACUACGUCCAGUGUCUCAGACUUCCUAAAUUACAUCUAAAUGCUUUUGUUGCCUUAGGAAAGUCUAAAAAUGCCGUGCAAUAAAACAGUGAAUAAGCUGAA